GAUGAAGAACGUAGCGAAAUGCGAUAAGUAGUGUGAAUUGCAGAAUUCAGUGAAUCAUCGAAUCUUUGAACGCACAUUGCGCCCCCUGGUAUUCCGGGGGGCAUGCCUGUCCGAGCGUCAUUACAACCCUCAAGCUCAGCUUGGUAUUGAGCCCCGCCGACCCGGCGGGCCCUAAAGUCAGUGGCGGUGCCGUCCGGCUCCGAGCGUAGUAAUUCUUCUCGCUCUGGAGGUCCGGUCGUGUGCUCGCCAGCAACCCCCAAUUUUUUUCAGGUUGACCUCGGAUCAGGUAGGGAUACCCGCUGAACUUAAGCAUAUCAAUAAGCGGAGGA
rnacentral:misc_RNA from 1 species